rnacentral:rRNA from 1 species
GAUGAACGCUGGCGGCGUGCCUAAUACAUGCAAGUCGAGCGAACAGACGAGAGUGCUUGCACUCUCUGACGUUAGCGGCGGACGGGUGAGUAACACGUGGGUAACCUACCUAUAAGACUGGGAUAACUUCGGGAAACCGGAGCUAAUACCGGAUAAUAUUUAGCUUCGCAUGAAGCAAUAGUGAAAGACGGUUCUGCUGUCACUUAUAGAUGGACCCGCGGUGUAUUAGCUAGUUGGUGAGGUAACGGCUCACCAAGGCAACGAUACAUAGCCGACCUGAGAGGGUGGUCGGCCACACUGGGACUGAGACACGGCCCAGACUCCUACGGGAGGCAGCAGUAGGGAAUCUUCCGCAAUGGACGAAAGUCUGACGGAGCAAUGCCGCGUGAGUGAAGAAGGUGUUCGGAUCGUAAAACUCUGUUGUAAGGGAAGAACAAGUACGUUAGUAACUGAACGUACCUUGACGGUACCUUACCAGAAAGCCACGGCUAACUACGUG